GUCUAUGGCCAUACCACCCUGAAUGUGCUUGGUAUUGUCUGAUCUUGGAAGCUAAUCAGGGUCAGGCCUGGUUAGUACUUGGAUAGGAGACCAAAUACC
rnacentral:rRNA from 10 species